GAGGGUAUAGCUUAAGUGGUAGAGCACAUGCUUAGCAAGCAGGAGGUUCUGGGUUCAAUCCCCAGGUACCUCCU
rnacentral:tRNA from 1 species